AGUGGGGAAUAUUGGACAAUGGGCGAAAGCCUGAUCCAGCAAUGCCGCGUGAGUGAUGAAGGCCCUAGGGUUGUAAAGCUCUUUUACCCGGGAAGAUAAUGACUGUACCGGGAGAAUAAGCCCCGGCUAACUCCGUGCCAGCAGCCGCGGUAAUACGGAGGGGGCUAGCGUUGUUCGGAAUUACUGGGCGUAAAGCGCACGUAGGCGGCUUUGCAAGUUAGAGGUGAAAGCCCGGGGCUCAACCCCGGAAUAGCCUUUAAAACUGCAUGGCUUGAACGUCGGAGAGGUGAGUGGAAUUCCGAGUGUAGAGGUGAAAUUCGUAGAUAUUCGGAAGAACACCAGUGGCGAAGGCGGCUCACUGGACGACUGUUGACGCUGAGGUGCGAAAGCGUGGGGAGCAAA
rnacentral:rRNA from 1 species